rnacentral:rRNA from 1 species
GACGAACGCUGGCGGCGUGCUUAACACAUGCAAGUCGAACGAUGAAGCCGGAGCUUGCUCUGGUGAAUUAGUGGCGAACGGGUGAGUAACACGUGAGUAACCUGCCCUUGACUCUGGGAUAACUGCGGGAAACUGUUGCUAAUACCGGAUACGACCCUCGGAGGCAUCUCCUGGGGGUGGAAAGAAUUUCGGUCAAGGAUGGACUCGCGGCCUAUCAGCUAGUUGGUGAGGUAAGGCUCACCAAGGCGACGACGGGUAGCCGGCCUGGGAGGGUGACCGGCCACACUGGGACUGAGACACGGCCCAGACUCCUACGGGAGGCAGCAGUGGGGAAUAUUGCACAAUGGGCGAAAGCCUGAUGCAGCAACGCCGCGUGAGGGAUGAAGGCCUUCGGGUUGUAAACCUCUUUUAGCAGGGAAGAAGCGAAAGUGACGGUACCUGCAGAAAAAGCACCGGCUAACUACGUGCCAGCCGCCGCCGUAA